rnacentral:pre_miRNA from 1 species
UGCAUACUCCCUCCGUCCGAAAAUAUUUGUUGGAGAAAUGGAUCAAAAUGGAUGUAUCUAGAACUAAAAUACGUCUAGAUACAUCCAUUUCUAUGACAAGUAUUUCCGGACGGAGGGAGUAUUUG